CGACGCGGGGCCGGGGCGGGCGAUGCUCGGAGCCCGCGGGGUGGGCGCGGCGUCUCUGCCCCCGCGGCGGGGGACGCCGCAGCGCUGCCAGCUGCAGCACAAGGUACUUAGCUGACAUAUCCAAAAGGUUGGAUGAGUUUAUGAUCAAUGAGAAAUCCAUGCAAGUACAGAGCUGAAGAAGGCAACAGGCAAAUGAUGCACUCUGCUGACCACUGGCCAGGGAGGACGAUGCACCUCCACACAAGUAUUCAGUCUUCACAGGAGAGUGCUUCCUCUGAAGCCUCUGGUGUUGCCUGCUCCUGGAGACAGCGCUCAGUGGGGUGGUUACUUCAGUCAUGAGGACAGAUACUGCAGUGACAUCAGUGGAAAUCCUUUUCAUGGUGCUGAAUUACAGCUUGACAGCAGCAAUCUCAUGACACACUCCUUCUGAUUCCACACCUGCGUCGUGACAACUGUAUUGCUUGGUUACAUGGAAACAUUAUCACUGCUUAAGGGGAAGACAAAAUGACAAUAAAUUUAUUUUUAUGA